rnacentral:tRNA from 1 species
GGCCCGUUGGUCAAGUGGUUAAGACACGGCCCUUUCACGGCUGUAACAGGAGUUCGACUCUCCUACGGGUCACCA